CCUACGGGGGACAGCAGUGAGGAAUAUUGGUCAAUGGGCGCAAGCCUGAACCAGCCAAGCCGCGUGAAGGAUGACGGCCCUACGGGUUGUAAACUUCUUUUGUAAAGGAGUAAAGUGCGGUACGUGUGCCUUUUUGUAUGUACUUUAUGAAUAAGGAUCGGCUAACUCCGUGCCAGCAGCCGCGGUAAUACGGAGGAUCCGAGCGUUAUCCGGAUUUAUUGGGUUUAAAGGGUGCGUAGAUGGUUUUUUAAGUUAGUUGUGAAAUUUUGCUGCUCAACCGCAGGGCUGCCGUUGAUACUGUAGGACUGGAGAGCAGGUGAGGCAGGCGGAAUUCGUAGUGUAGCGGUGAAAUGCGUAGAUAUUAGGAGGAACAC
rnacentral:rRNA from 1 species